rnacentral:rRNA from 1 species
GACGGAGGGUGCUAGCGUUGUUCGGAAUGACUGGGCGUAAAGGGCGCGUAGGCGGCCGCUUGCGUCGGAUGUGAAAGCCCGGGGCUCAACCCCGGAACGGCAUCCGAUACGGGGCGGCUCGAGACCGAGAGAGGUGAGUGGAAUACCCAGUGUAGAGGUGAAAUUCGUAGAUAUUGGGUGGAACACCGGUGGCGAAAGCGGCUCACUGGCUCGGUUCUGACGCUGAGGCACGAAGGUCAGGGGAGCAAACGGGG